UGGAUUACUUUUCCAGCAAAGCCUCCUUAAGGUAAGACAUCCAACAGGAUUGGAUGCCCCAACCCUGGCAGUGUUCAAAGCCAGGUUGGAUAAGGCCUUGAGCAACCUGGUCUAGAGGGACGUGUCCCUGCACACAGCAGGGGGUUUGGGACUACACAGUGUUUAAGGUCCAUGCCAACCCCUUAACAUUCCACGAUUCUAUGUUUCUGUGACAUGAAAGGGUUGAAUGCAGAAUUCCCACAAGCAAUCUGUACCUCACAAAGUUGCACCUUUCCUCAGCUUUCCUGACAACUUCCCAGCGUAUUCUCCAACUAUGUGCCAAGACUGACCUUUUCCUCCCUAAGAGAUAUCAGUUCAGCCCACAGGAAGGGCACAUGUGCCUCAUUGCUGAGGGCUGGCCAGGAGCUCUGCAAAUGUUGGCUGCUCUGUCAGGAUAACUGGAGAAGGCCAAAAGCACAAGCGUGGGAAUACUACAAGAAAUGCUUCCAGAUGAAAUGAUUCUCUCUAGAUGGGACUGAAAUAGCUGAACCUGUGCAGUCUGCACUUCUGCAGAUCAAAGGUCUUUACCUCCAGUCAGGAUUGAUCUUACAUGAGGAACAACAGAGGAACACUUGAAGAGAGAGAUUCCUGAAUUUACUUGCAACAAGACGAUCUUAAAACCAUGCUUCUUGUCUGUGUCACGCUCCUGAAAGUAUGCUGCAUGUCAGACAAACACAGAAAGGCUUGCUCUUGUUUUAGAAGCAUGAGUAGGAAAAAACCCACAGAGAAAUAAUCUUAAAAAGCCCAGGCCAAUAGCAUCUACAAAGGUAAAGAAAACUUCUGAUAUUCUGGUGAAGAUCUGAAGGUAGAGUGAGGCAUUUUCCCAGUCUCCCUGCAGGCCUGAUGUGACUACAUGCACGGAACAGGCUGUGCAGAGGUGUGCCAGCCUGGAGUGCUUUGGCGAAGAAACAGCAGACCUACCUCUCUGCCCUCUCUGUAGCCCUGCUGUGUGGGCUGGGAGAUCACACAGCUUGGGGCUUUUUUAUUUCUGCAUUACCAGAGGAAGCUUGUGCAUCAGACACCCAUCAAAAAAUGAAAAAAAC